ACGUCGCUGCGCGGUUCGUCAGGAACACGCAUCCCCGGGGCCUUAUCGAUCCGAAAGGGAGCUGUCACUGGCUGGAUCCGUGGAUCCUGUCAUCACGGCGCCCACCUACUUUGUAGGUUUCCCGGGAUCGAUCUCCAACGACCGAGGUGGCACGUC
rnacentral:other from 1 species